rnacentral:rRNA from 1 species
UACGUAGGGGGCAAGCGUUGUCCGGAUUUAUUGGGCGUAAAGAGCGUGUAGGCGGCUUGGUAGGUCCGCUGUGAAAACUCGAGGCUCAACCUCGAGAUGUCGGCGGAAACCACUUGGCUAGAGUCCGGAAGAGGAGAGUGGAAUUCCUGGUGUAGCGGUGAAAUGCGCAGAUAUCAGGAGGAACACCAAUGGCGAAGGCAGCUCGCUGGGACGUGACUGACGCUGAGACGCGAUAGCGUGGGGAGCAAACAGG